rnacentral:rRNA from 1 species
AUACGGAGGGUGCAAGCGUUAUCCGGAAUUAUUGGGUUUAAAGGGUCCGUAGGCGGCUAGAUAAGUCAGUGGUGAAAUUCUCUCGCUCAACGAGAGACCUGCCAUUGAUACUGUCUUGGCUAGAGUUACAGUGAGGUGAGUGGAAUGUGUAGUGUAGCGGUGAAGUGCAUAGAUAUUACACAGAACACCGAUUGCGAAGGCAGCUCACUAACUGUAUACUGACGCUGAUGGACGAAAGCGUGGGGAGCAAACUGGAUUAGAAACCCUAGUAGUCC